AUGCCUUACACAUGCAAGUCGAACGGCAGCACGGGGGCAACCCUGGUGGCGAGUGGCGAACGGGUGAGUAAUACAUCGGAACGUGUCCUGUAGUGGGGGAUAGCCCGGCGAAAGCCGGAUUAAUACCGCAUACGAUCUACGGAUGAAAGCGGGGGAUCUUCGGACCUCGCGCUAUAGGGGCGGCCGAUGGCGGAUUAGCUAGUUGGUGGGGGUAAAGGCUCACCAAGGCGACGAUCCGUAGCUGGUCUGAGAGGACGACCAGCCACACUGGGACU
rnacentral:rRNA from 1 species